GACGAACGCUGGCGGCGUGCUUAAUACAUGCAAGUCGAGCGAGGUCCAUCUGGUGGCAACACCAGUGAAGGCCGAGCGGCGAACGGGUGAGUAACACGUGAGCAACCUGCCCCGAAGUCUGGAAUAACAUCGGGAAACCGGUGCUAAUACCGGAUCGCCCCACCUGACCGCAUGAUCGGGUGAGGAAGGAUUUAUCGCUUCGGGAGGGGCGUCGCGGCCUAUCAGCAGUUGGUGGGGUAACGGCCUACCAAGGCGUCGACGGGUAGCUGGUCUGAGAGGACGACCAGCCACACUGGGACUGAGACACGGCCCAGACUCCUACGGGAGGCAGCAGUAGGGAAUCUUGCGCAAUGGGCGAAAGCCUGACGCAGCGACGCCGCGUGGGGGAGUGAAGGUCUUCGGAUUGUAAACCCCGUUUCGGGAGGGAAGAUGGAACGAGCAAUCGUUCGGACGGUACCUCCAGAAGCAGCCACGGCUAACUUCGUGCCA
rnacentral:rRNA from 1 species